AAAUGAAUAGACGGGGGCCCGCACAAGCGGCGGAGCAUGUGGAUUAAUUCGAUGCAACGCGAAGAACCUUACCUGGGUUUGACAUGCACGGGAAAGCCGCGGAGACGCGGCCCCCCCUCGGGGCCCGUGUGCAGGUGGUGCAUGGCUGUCGUCAGCUCGUGUCGUGAGAUGUUGGGUUAAGUCCCGCAACGAGCGCAACCCCCGUCCCGUGUUGCCAGCAAUUCGGUUGGGGACUCGCGGGAGACUGCCGGGGUCAACUCGGAGGAGGGUGGGGACGACGUCAAGUCAUCAUGCCCCUUAUGCCCAGGGCUUCACACAUGCUACAAUGGCCGGUACAGAGGGUGGCGAUGCCGCGAGGCGGGGCGAAUCCCUUAAAGCCGGUCUCAGUUCGGAUCGGGGUCUGCAACUCGACCCCGUGAAGUCGGAGUCGCUAGUAAUCGCAGAUCAGCAACGCUGCGGUGAAUACGUUCCCGGGCCUUGUACACACCGCCCGU
rnacentral:rRNA from 1 species